GACGAACGCUGGCGGCGUGCUUAACACAUGCAAGUCGAGCGAGAGCCAGCUGAGGGGUAACCCUCGGCUGGGGACAGCGGCGAACGGGUGCGUAACACGUGGGGCAACCUGCCCCUGACACUGGGAUAACCCCGGGAAACGGAGCUAAUACCGGAUACUCGUCGGCCGAUCACAUGGCUGGCCGAGGAAGGUCCGCGGUCAGGGAUGGGCCCGCGGCCUAUCAGCUUGGGGUGGGUAACGGCCACCAAGGCGACGACGGGUAGCUGGUCUGAGAGGACGACCAGCCACACUGGAACUGAGAUACGGGUCCAGACUCCUACGGGAGGCAGCAGUGGGGAAUAUUGCACAAUGGGCGAAAGCCUGAUGCAGCGACGCCGCGU
rnacentral:rRNA from 1 species